GGAAAUCAUUGGGUUUAAAGGGUCCGUAGGUGGACAAUUAAGUCAGAGGUGAAAUCCUGCAGCUCAACUGUAGAAUUGCCUUUGAUACUGGUUGUCUUGAAUUAUUGUGAAGUGGUUAGAAUAUGUAGUGUAGCGGUGAAAUGCAUAGAUAUUACAUAGAAUACCAAUUGCGAAGGCAGAUCACUAACAAUAUAUUGACACUGAUGGACGAAAGCGUGGGGAGCGAACGGGAUUAGAUACCCCGGUAGUCCACGCCGUAAACGAUGGUCACUAGCUGUUCGGAUUUCGGUCUGAGUGGCUAAGCGAAAGUGAUAAGUGACCCACCUGGGGAGUACGUUCGCAAGAAUGAAACUCAAAGGAAUUGACGGGGGCCCGCACAAGCGGUGGAGCAUGUGGUUUAAUUCGAUGAUACGCGAGGAACCUUACCAGGGCUUAAAUGUAGAUUGCAUUAGCUAGAGAUAGCUAUUUCUUCGGACUAUCUACAAGGUGCUGCAUGGUU
rnacentral:rRNA from 1 species